UACGUAGGCAGCGAGCGUUGUUCGGAGUUACUGGGCGUAAAGAGUGCGUAGGCGGUUUUCUAAGUUUGGUGUGAAAUCUCCCGGCUCAACUGGGAGGGUGCGCCGAAGACUGGAAGGCUUGAGUAUGGGAGAGGUAAGCGGAAUUCCUGGUGUAGCGGUGAAAUGCGUAGAUAUCAGGAGGAAUACCGGUGGCGAAAGCGACUCUCUGGACGGCAACUGACGCUGAGGCACGAAAGCGUGGGGAGCAAACAGG
rnacentral:rRNA from 1 species